rnacentral:lncRNA from 1 species
UGAAAUUUGCUCUGGAGAGAUAAAAAUAAAGUAUGGAGCCUCACAUAUUUGAUCAAUUUCCCUUUAUCCUUUAAUCGAAUAAACCCCAGUGCUACAAUCAGCAAGAAAAACAUUUUGUUUAAGUAUUUCAUGUCUCCCAUGAUUCAUCUAGCAGCAGCCUCACAUCUGACAUGAUGGGAAUGAGUCAUAUGUCAUUGGGGAAGAAAAAUAAAACAAGAAGAGAAAAGGAGGAAGAGGAGGAGGAGGAAGAGGAGGAAGAGAAGAGGAAGAAGAAAGAGGAGGAGGAGGAAGAAGAGGUGGAGAAGGAGAAGAUGGAGGAGGAAGAGGAAGAGAUGAUGAUGAAGAUGAUGAAGAAAAAGAAGAAGAAGAUGAUGGUGGGGGCAGCUGGGUGGCUCAGUGGAUAGAGCACCGGCCCUGAAGUGAGGAAGACCUGAGCUCAAAUCUGGCCUCAGACCAAGCACUUGUCCUUGUGUGACCCUGGGCAAGUCACUUAACCCCAAUUGCCUGAAAAAAAAAAAAGAUGAUGGUGGUGCCGGUGGUAACAGAAGGUCAGAAUCUGGAAGAGAUAUCAGAGAUAUGUUAACCAACACCCUUGUUUUGUAGAGAAGAUAGAAGCUAAGAGAAGUAAUAUGACGUACUCCAGGUCACAAUCUGCUAAAUGGAAGAGAUAAAACUUGAUUCCACGUCUGUCUGCGACUCCUUCUACUACACCAGGCUGCUCUAUAUCCAAUUGCUUCAUUUUGUAAAUGAGGAAACCUUGGACAACUCCAAUGAUUUGCCCGAAGUCACUCUACCAGUCAGCAACAGAACCAAGAUUCAACCUCAGCUCUCAUAAUUUCUAGGCCAAUGCUCUUUUCCCUACACUUUGCCCUCUUGGGUAGAAUUAGCCUGUUUUUGUCUUGUCCUCCUGAACCAUAAUUCAACUCUCACCUUGUCUUAAAACUGAAUUCCAACGCCAGUUCUGUCAUUUAAUAUAUGUGUGAUAUUAAUUGACUCGAGUCAUCUCUCUAGACCUCAGUUUCCACAUCUGUAAAAUAAGGGAGUUGGCCCACAUAACUUCUGAAGACCUUUCCAAUGCUAGAUCUACCAUCCUAUGACUCACAACAAAAUGUCUGGAAAGAGAAAGCCCCACCCCUGCCAAUGUAUAUUGGCAAUGUAGCCCCAGUUGUCUCUGCCAUCUUUUCUCUUUGAUGGGGAUAGGGUUUGGCAUCCCUUCUGCUUCCCUAAAAGGAAUCCCCUUUUUAAAAAAAAAAGCUCAAAUGGGAGGGGUAAGUGUCCACAACACUCUAAUGAGGAAAUUGUUUCCUUAUUCAAAGUCAUCAUGGGCAUUGCCAGAGCUAUUCCCAGAUCACCGGAGUCUCAACAACAAGAGACAAUGGAAAAUAGAGCGUUGACGGCUCUGCCUUACCUGGCAACAGGACAACUUUCCAUGAGCACAGAUAGCAGACGUCCCUGUUUACUGUACUUUGGGAGAUGGGCAAGAUUGGAAACAAUAAAAGAUAAUUCAAUAACA